rnacentral:tRNA from 1 species
UAGUAAUAUUAAUUCUCUUUUGCAAAGAGAAAACGGAAAAUUAUCCUAUUACUAG